GUAGUCAUAUGCUUGUCUCAAAGAUUAAGCCAUGCAUGUCUCAGUACAAGCCAUAUUAAGGUGAAACCGCGAAAGGCUCAUUAAAUCAGUUAUGGUUCCUUAGAUCGUACAUACAAUUACUUGGAUAACUGUGGUAAUUCUAGAGCUAAUACAUGCAAACAGAGCUCCGACCGGAGACGGAAGGAGUGCUUUUAUUAGAUCAAGACCAAUCGGCGGCAAUUUAGUUUCGGCUUUAUUGUUCGUCGCAUUUUUUGGUGACUCUGAAUAACUUUUGGCUGAUCGCACGGUCUAGCACCGGCGACGCAUCUUUCAAAUGUCUGCCUUAUCAACUGUCGAUGGUAGGUUCUGCGCCUACCAUGGUUGUAACGGGUAACGGGGAAUUAGGGUUCGAUUCCGGAGAGGGAGCCUGAGAAACGGCUACCACAUCCAAGGAAGGCAGCAGGCGCGCAAAUUACCCACUCCCGGCACGGGGAGGUAGUGACGAAAAAUAACGAUACGGGACUCAUCCGAGGCCCCGUAAUCGGAAUGAGUACACUUUAAAUCCUUUAACAAGGAUCAAUUGGAGGGUAAGUCUGGUGCCAGCAGCCGCGGUAAUUCCAGCUCCAAUAGCGUAUA
rnacentral:rRNA from 1 species